rnacentral:rRNA from 1 species
AGAGUUUGAUCCUGGCUCAGAUUGAACGCUGGCGGCGUGCUUAACACAUGCAAGUCGAUCGGUAACAGGUGUAGCAAUACAUGCUGACGAGAGGCGGACGGGUGAGGAACGCUUGGGAAUCUGCCCAUCAGCGGGGGACAACCCGGGGAAACCCGGGCUAAUACCGCAUACGCUCUACGGAGGAAAGCCGGGGACCGCAAGGCCUGGCACUGAUGGAUGAGCCCAAGUCGGAUUAGCUAGUUGGCGGGGUAACGGCCCACCAAGGCGACGAUCCGUAGCUGGUCUGAGAGGACGAUCAGCCACACUGGGACUGAGACACGGCCCAGACUCCUACGGGAGGCAGCAGUGGGGAAUAUUGGACAAUGGGGGAAACCCUGAUCCAGCGACGCCGCGUGGGUGAAGAAGGCCUGCGGGUUGUAAAGCCCUUUCGGUAGGGACGAAAGCUCUCGACCUAACACGUCGAGAGGAUGACUUAACCUACAAAAGAAGCACCGGCUAACUCUGUGCCAGCAGCCGCGGUAAUACAGAGGGUGCGAGCGUUAAUCGGAAUUACUGGGCGUAAAGCGCACGUAGGCGGCUUGGCAUGUCGGGUGUGAAAUCCCCGGGCUCAACCUGGGAACUGCAUCCGAAACUGCCUUGCUAGAGUAUGGGAGAGGGAAGUGGAAUUUCCGGUGUAGCGGUGAAAUGCGUAGAUAUCGGAAGGAACAUCAGUGGCGAAGGCGACUUCCUGGACCAAUACUGACGCUCAGGUGCGAAAGCGUGGGGGAGCAAACAGGAUUAGAUACCCCUGGUAGUCCACG